CCUACGGGUGGCUGCAGUGGGGAAUAUUGCGCAAUGGGCGAAAGCCUGACGCAGCGACGCCGCGUGAGGGAUGAAGGUCUUCGGAUCGUAAACCUCUGUCAGCAGGGAAGAACGGUCACGGGGCUAAGCAGCAGUGAAUGGACGGUACCUGCAAAGGAAGCACCGGCUACCUCCGUGCCAGCAGCCGCGGUAAUACGGAGGGUGCGAGCGUUAAGCGGAAUUACUGGGCGGAAAGCGCUCGUAGGCGGUAUGUCAAGUCAAGGGUGAAAUCCCCGCGCUCAACGUGGGAACUGCCUUUGAAACUGGCAAACUGGCGUGUGUGAGAGGAUAGUGGACUUCCAGGUGUCGGC
rnacentral:rRNA from 1 species